rnacentral:lncRNA from 1 species
UCCAGAUGGAGUCUUGCUCUGUUGCCAGGCUGGAGUGCAGUGGCAGGAUCUCAGCUCCCUACAAUCCCUGCCUCCCGGGUUCAAGCGAUUCCCCUGCCUCAGCCUGCUGAGUAGCUGGGACUACAGGCACACACCACCAUGGCUGGCUAGUUAUUGUAUUUUUAGUAGAGAUGAGGGUUCACCAUAUUGGCCAGGAUGGUCUCCAGCUCCUGACCUCGUGAUCUACCCGCCUCAGCCUCCGAAAGUGCUAGGAUUACAGGAUAAGCCACCAGGCCCAGACAUAUUUUUAAUUGACUAUUUAAGUAGACCUUGGUAAUAACUGCUUUUCUGUUUUUCACUGCAUACUAGCAGGCAAGGGCAAUUUUUUAGCCAGCCAAUACCGCAUUGAUUCUUGUAAGUCAGUGGCUAUUGCAAAAUUAACCCUUGUGGGUUAAAAAUAGAUUUAAAAUGUAAAGAUGAACAUGUAAUAUAAAGAAGACAAUUUCUAAGGUUAUUUUCAAAUUGAAGCAUCCGUGGUGGGAAACGAUUAUUUUGGCAGAGAUAGUACUUAAAAUAACACUUGGAUUUGCAAACUGGAGAACAUCAGCAGGAUAAUUCAUAAGCAUGCUCAUUUCCUCCUUGCUGGGUAUUAGCCAGGAAUACAGUACAGCAUAUGGCUUGUUAUUCUUGUAGCUGGAGACGACAGAAUUAAAUCCAGAGAUGAAUGACUGUUUUCUCAUCUAAGUCCCAGCCUGUCUGCCUUUCCAGGAACUGGCUAGUUAUGAUGGGACAUGGUUUUGCUGUGAGGCCAAGAUGCAGGAGGGGCAGGAAGCACCCAUGGGGCUGUCUUCACUGCAGGUGACACACGCUGAACACAGCCUUCAACCCUUGCCAUGUGCAGCCCCCGCAAGGCAAGCUGGCUUUGGAUUGACAAGUGGUUUCUGGGAGAUGCAGUAGAAGUACUUUUCUCUAUUCUUCUGCUAAGUCAACUAAAAACCCUGGACGUUAUACAUAAAGCAAACAGAAGAAUCCCCUGGAAGGCAGAAGAAAGCCAAGCGCUGGCCGAUGACCUCAGGGCCUGAGGAGCAUCACACUCCCAGGCUGGCAUAGGCAGAAGCCCAGUGGGAAGGGCAGAAUCUCCUGCUGCUUCCUGCAGGAGUAAUGAGGGGCCCUCCUGCUGUGGGGUAUCAACAGAGACUGAGUGUGGAACCCAGACUCCUGCCUUCACUUACAGUAACAAGGUGACAUUUCCCUUCCCUUCACACAGGGUUUUACAUUUGCUCCCUGUGAUAGCCUUAGAUCAUGUUAGGGCUAUUGAACCAGAGGCCCCUCUGUUCUGUUCCACACAAAACUCACCUCCCUGGAUUCUUCAGUUGAUUUUGGAUCUUGUGAUGAGAAGUUGUGAGCUUCUGUGCUAAACUUAAGGACAGAGAAGGACUCUAAUUUAUCUUUGCAUUCAUCAAAGAUGAAUUAUUUGAGUCUAAACUACCCAUAGCACUUAGUGUAGUGUCUGGGCGUAUAGGAACUUGAUACAUAUGGGUUGAACUCUUGAUGGAAUUGUUGAGAGCAUAAGUGUUUCUGGAACAUUCUGUUUAUCUGACUUUACAGUGAUUAACUAGACAUACCUUACAGAGACUGACACAGACAAUGAGAAAUUGGAAUUUCUUUGUCACCAGAACUGAAAUCUGUUGAGGGCGAUGAGAGAGCUGCUGUAGAGAAGUUCUCAUAGGCAUACUCUUCUCUGGGUAGCAUUGGAAACUUUCGAAUUCUUACUUUUCUAUUGAGAGGAUAUGGGAUUUGGUGUCAGACUUCAAUUCAAAUUUCAUCACUGUGCUCCUGGGCAAAUGACAUAGCCUCCUUGCACUUUGAUUGUCUCACCUAUAUAUGUUAUACAAUACGGUAUACCAUUUUACUGUGAGAGUAAGACGCUUCUCAAAUUGUUGGGGAAAUUUAAUUAACAAAGAUACGUGAAUGAAUCUAGCAUGGUGGCUAAUAUCUAAAUUACUCUAAGUCUUCAUCUCCUAAUAUUAUUAUUCUGCAAACUAGAUAAGAUAGCUAUAAUUUCCCUUUUUUUUUUUUUUUUUUUUUUUUUUUUGAGAGAAGAUCUCACUCUGUUGCCAAGGCUGGAGUGCAGUGGUGCAAGCAUGGCUCACCGCAGCCUUGAUCUCCUAGGCUCAAGCUAUCCUUCCACCUCAGCCUCCCAAGUAGCUGGGACCACAGGUAUGUGCCACCAAGCCUGGCUAAUUUUUGCAUUUUUUUGUAGAGACGGGAUCUUGCCAUGUUGCCCAGUCUGGCUUCAAACUCCUGAGCUCAAGUGAUUCUCCCGCCUCAGCCUACCCAAGUGCUGGGAUUACAGGAAAGAGCCACUGUGCCUGACCUAAUUUUUCUUAAAUAAUAAGCAACACUUUCCAGUGACUACAUUGAUCAAUUAGGGUGGGUAAUUCCUUCUCCAGAUGACUGGGCUUAUUUAUGACAAACUCUUCAUUUUAAUUUUAUUGGGAAAAUAGCAUCUAACCUCAAGUUCAAAUUUGAGAGAACCUUACUGUGGACCACAAAACCUGCCCACCGAUAUGCAUCUUUGAAAUAAAUAACUAAUGAUAAUGUGUUCAAUAAUGACCUGCCUUUAAUUAAUGCAUUAAAAUAGUAAUAAGCAGAAAAUCUUUAUUUCGAAUGUAAUGUAUCUUCUUAUAAGCAGAAAAGCCCUUAUUUUUUCAGCAUGUUCAUAUUACUUUUAUAAAGAUGUUGGAUUUCAUGUGAGGGCAGCCAGUUCUUAUCCUUGUGUAUUUAUCUCCAUGGCUCAUUCCUUAUCCAGCUGCUACUGAAAAGUCCUGGAGUUCAGAUGGAUGAUUUUGUAAGGUAUAAGUAGCCACCCUUAGGGAAAACAAGGCAACUGAUAACUGUAGUGAAUAUGGUAGCUGAAAGACCACAAUCUAUUUAGCCAACUUGUGUCCGACAAGGGCAAGUAGACAAGCUUUUCAGUGUUUAGAAUAACAGGGGUCAAGGUUACUUACUCAAAUCGUCUCCUGGAAAGAACACAGACUUUGGACUUAGAGCUGCCCUCAGAUCUUGGUGUUGACACUUGCUGCCUUUAAUAAACUACUUAUUCUCUUAGAGCCUCAAUUUCCUUGUGAAAAUCAUAAAACAGGCUAAGAUUUUUUUAUGUUUACUAUGCAUAAGGAGCUGUACCUUGUAAUUAUCUUUUUUUUUUUUUUCUGAAACGGAGUCUUCCUCUGUCACCAGGCUGGAGUGCAGUAGCGCGAUCUUGGCUCCCUGCAACCUCCGCCUCCUGGGUUCAAGAGAUUCUCCUGCCUCAGCCUCCCGAGUAGCUGGCACUACAGAUGCACGCCACCACACCCAGCUAAUUUUUGUAUUUUCAGUAGAGACGGGGUUUCACCAUGUUGGCCAGGAUGGUCUCAAUCUCUUGACCUCGUGAUCUGCCUGCCUCAGCCUCCCAAAGUGCUGGGAUAACAGGUGUCAGCCACCGUGCCCUGCCCCAAUUCCACUAGUUUAA